rnacentral:sRNA from 1 species
CUGACUGCGAUCACCUCCUAAACCCAGAUA